UCUACACCAGAUGGCGCUGCUUAGCCUAAUGGAGUAGAUUGUCGUGGGGGCUAUAGGUGUGUACACGCAUGCGCGGCAGGGGUGAAAAUGGCGCACCCGUCCUUUGUAUUCGGCUUCCGUCCACUCCCCACUUGUCUGUGACCAAGCUGUCAGGUUGCCAGGGCAGCACCUCUCUCCUGAGUUUUAUCUCAGAUGCGGCUGUGUUUCCCAACCCCUCACUUCUGAGGAACUGCGGCUUUGACCUGCUCAGACCUUCUGUAGGAGGGCCGCACCCAGGAACGUUCGUGGGACCGUGCUGUCGCCCGUGCCCAGAGCCUGCAGUGGGGUGCCAGCCCGCCCCAGAAAAAGUUCACGCGACAGAGUAGCAGCAGCGUUUCAGGGAUUAUGGAGAGAUCUAAGUUGCACUAAGGUGAAUGCAGUGAACAGACUGAGCAACUGUCUGGACGCGAGCUUCAGACUGUCAAGAGAAGAGGCGGCUCCUCCUGCAACAGCCAGGUGGACUCCACCCCGGGAGCCAGGGCCCCGGCCCGUCUGCUGACCUGGCUCUGGCAGAACUGGCUGGCAGGUCGAUUGGGUCAAAACAGAUAGACACAGCUCUCCAGGCCGGUAAGUGUUUUGAGCAAGUGAGCCCUGUCAGCUGAAGAGAGAAGCAACCAGCUACCUUCAGUGUCAGCAGUAUUUCUGCAGGAAAACAGAGAAAAUUGUGAAGUACCUCUGAAUUUUUUAUAACACCAUCAUAAAGCUCAUCACAGAAUCAUCAAUGUACUUGGCCAUUUUUAAAUAGUGUCGUUCCCGAAGGCUCUGUCUGGCUGAAUUACACUUGAUUUUGAGGCAGACAGGCAGGAGGCCCUGUUCCUCGCUGAGCACACUCCUCCCUUAAGGCCAGCAGAUCCUCCGUGCCACUUUGAAGGACGAGAGCCUUCAGUGGAUGACUGCUGCUCUCUCACCAAUGACGUCCUACACCAAUGUCCUCGCCCACCGUCUCAAACGACGUUGCAGAGAUACCUCAUUGCUGAGCUGCCCUGGCUUUCUGACAAUAUCCGAUUCAGAAGCGGCCACCACUUCCUCAAUCCUUCCUCAAAAUCAUCCAGUACAAACCGACUUUCAACAAAACGUCCCUCUUGACUUUCUCUUACAGAGAUACUCCCAGGGUUCCGUGGGGUGUUUUCCUGGCUUCAGGGAGCUGAAUAAACCAGGGUUUUGGAUCUACGGAUAUUCUCGCCAGUUUCCGGUUGCUAUGCCAUGAUGGUUUCAAUGAGGGCUGUAGUGAGCAAGAAUCAUGUGAGGUGUCUGACUGGUUGGUGCAUGUCUGUCAGUGCUUUUCUUUGGUUAUUGACUAUGUUUUUGACUAUGUUCCACCCCCCCCCCCCAAAAGGUUUCAUCCAUGUAGCAAAUAUUAAUUAUCCACUCUGUGCCAGGUGCUGGGGCUAUAACCAAAACAGUGUAUUUCUGGUCACCGCCAUCAAAACAUCAAGUGGGCCAGGAAGACAAAUAACAACAUGGUCCGAAUUAUGUGAGAGGAAAUACUGGGUGCUGUGAGGACACAUAACAACUGUUUCUGGGAUUUAGAUAUGAAGGCAUAGCUAGCACAUCAGGGCCAUUAAAGAUUAUCUAGUAAGAUCAGAGAGUAAGCCCAAAAUAAUCAAUUUCACCACACUACCCUGCAAAGACCGACUGGGGGAAACCGCUGCCAGAUCAUGAAUUCUAGAGGGCAAAGGUGGGAUUACAUUCCUGGUCUGGAGCACAAUUCUCCCAAGCUUAAAACAUUAGUUUAGGAGAAUCCCUCUGAUUGUAUUUCCUCUUAGAGAAGAACAGUUAAUGUACUUUUCUCUUUGAUAUAAAGCCGAAUUAUAUAUUUAUUUCCAA